UACGAAGGGGGCUAGCGUUGUUCGGAUUUACUGGGCGUAAAGCGCACGUAGGCGGAUCGAUCAGUCAGGGUGAAAUCCCAGAGCUCAACUCUGGAACUGCCUUUGAUACUGUCGAUCUGGAGUAUGGAAGAGGUGAGUGGAAUUCCGAGUGUAGAGGUGAAAUUCGUAGAUAUUCGGAGGAACACCAGUGGCGAAGGCGGCUCACUGGUCCAUUACUGACGCUGAGGUGCGAAAGCGUGGGGAGCAAACAGG
rnacentral:rRNA from 1 species